CCUGACAAGUACUUGGAUGGGAGACCAACUAGGAAAGCUGG
rnacentral:rRNA from 1 species